GACGAACGCUGGCGGCGUGCCUAAUACAUGCAAGUAGGACGCAGUUGCGAACGGGUGAGUAACGCCUAGGUAACUACCUAUAAGAGGGGGAUAACUAUUGGAAAAGAUAGCUAAUACCGCAUACUAGUAGAUGGAUCGUCGUGGUAUUAGCUAGUAGGUUGGGUAAUGGCCUACCUAGGCGACGAUACAUAGCCGAGCUGAGAGGAUGAUCAGCCACACUGGGACUGAGACACGGCCCAGACUCCUACGGGAGGCAGCAGUGGGGAAUAUUGCGCAAUGGGCGCAAGCCUGAUCCAGCCAUGCCGCGUGAAUGAAGAAGGUCUUAGGGUUGUAAAGCUCUGUUAUUAGGGAGGCGGUAUCUAAAGAGGAAGCAACGGCUAACUCCGUGCCAGCAGCCGCGGUAAUUC
rnacentral:rRNA from 1 species